AGUCGUGGGGCAGCGCGGGUAGCAAUACCUGGCGGCGACCGGCAAACGGGUGCGGAACACGUACGCAACCUUCCUUUAAGCGGGGAAUAGCCCAGGGAAACUUGGAUUAAUACCCCAUAAGACAGUGGAGUGGCAUCACUCAGCUGUUAAAGCUCCGGCACUUAAAGAUGGGCGUGCGGCUGAUUAGGUAGUUGGCGGGGUAACGGCCCACCAAGCCGACGAUCAGUAACUGGUGUGAGAGCACGACCAGUCACACGGGCACUGAGACACGGGCCCGACUCCUACGGGAGGCAGCAGUAAGGAAUAUUGGUCAAUGGACGCAAGUCUGAACCAGCCAUGCCGCGUGGAGGAUGAAGGCCCUCUGGGUUGUAAACUUCUUUUAUUGGGGAAGAAACCGGACUUUUCUAAGACCGUUGACGGUACCCGAUGAAUAAGCACCGGCUAACUCCGUGCCAGCAGCCGCGGUAAUACGGAGGGUGCAAGCGUUAUCCGGAUUCACUGGGUUUAAAGGGUGCGUAGGUGGGCAGGUAAGUCAGUGGUGAAAUCUCUGGGCUUAACCCAGAAACUGCCGUUGAUACUAUCUGUCUUGAAUAUAGCGGAGGUGAGUGGAAUAUGUCAUGUAGCGGUGAAAUGCUUAGAUAUGACAUAGAACAUCGAUUGCGAAGGCAGCUCGCUACACUAUUAUUGACACUGAGGCACGAAAGCGUGGGGAUCAAACAGGAUUAGAUACCCUGGUAGUCCACGCCCUAAACGAUGGAUACUCGACAUCAGCGAUACACUG
rnacentral:rRNA from 1 species